AUUCGUCUUGCUGUAACUGUCAAAGAUUAAAAAUAUACAGUAAAUAAAUGGAAAAGACCAUUCUCCGAGAGAGAUGGUAAAACUGCAGCAAACCAUAAGUUAAAGGCCAUGCCAAAUAUAUCUGUUACUUCCCAUUGCAACAUCUUGUGUUUACAUUAUCGUCUUUAUGAUGCUAUAAUUAAGGAUUCAUUGCCGCUUCCAUUGUAAACCUUCUUGGGCACGAGUUCAUAACUCAGACCUCUUAAUCUACAUCAUGUUGAAACUUGGCAUACAAACUGUCACUUGGAAUGCAAAUUAAUGUAAAAGAAAGGCUUUGAUGGUUUAUGCCUCAUUUUUGCAGACAAUACACAGUGGUAAAUAGGCACAAAAUCUUUGGAACUAAUUCAGUUCCUAAGGCAUCAAUGGACAACAGAUGACUACCUGUGCCUGCUACUUUUUCUUUGUGAUUGAGGGGGGUGGGAAAUGCACCUAUUAUCUAUCAGUGCUUGAAUUCAAGGUCACCCGAGUCAUCUUCAGGCAUUCUGGACUUGUAUUGGUUGAAGGGUGUAGGGUUCUCAAUCACAAGGAGGACAAUGUGCAUUAAACUGAAUGUACUUAAGCCUGUGUGAAUUUGUCAAUUUUGGUAGAUUUCAGUUUCUCAUUUUUCCAACUUUAUACUCAUUUCUUCAUUUUCCCACACCAGUUGGUCUUUCUGAAAAUUUUAAUUUGUUUUAAUGUGAAUCUCUCCUAAUAUACUCAUUUAGGUAACUUUCCCUAAUACAUGAACUUUUUAGUAGGCAAUUUCCCCUAAAAUAAUGCAUUUUCUGAUAUUAUUUUCACCAACGUGCAUUGUUAUGCACAGUUUCCCCCAAAGAGCGAACCUAUGCAUAAGAAGCUGGUGCAGGAUGGCUUCCUUGAGAGAAGGGAGAGCUUGGGUAACCACAAUAUUGGAUUUGCUCUUUCAUAUAUACGAUUGGUAAGCAUUUUAUGUUGUUAUUCUUAUAUUUUAAAUUUGCUUUUAAUGUUUGCUUUUGUGAGUUGCUUCAAGUUCACCUUUGUGGGAAGGAAGGAAUGAAUAAAUAAAUAAAUAAAUAAAUAAAUAAGCUUAGCUAUCAAGGCCAGCAAAAUAUUUGGAGACUUCUGUAAAACACCUAUGUACUACGCAAUAGGCUUAACAGAUCAAGUGCCACAAAAACUUAGCUGAUAUGGAACCAUCACUUUUGUUGGGUAAAGUCGCUAAAGUAACACUGACAUAUCCUGCAUCUCUAAAACUCAAUUGUUACCACUAAUACCUUGUUCUUAUUGGGAGCAGGGAUGCGGGUGGUUCUGUGGUCUAAACACUGAGCCUCUUGGGCUUGCAGAUUGGAAGGUUGGUGGUUCGAAUCCCCGUGACGGGGAGAACUCCUGUUGUUCCAUCUCAGCUCCUGCCAACCUAGCAGUUCGAAAGCACACCAGUGCAAGUAGAUAAAUAGGUACCACUGCGGCAGGAAGGCAAACACCGUUUCCAUGCACUCUGGUUUCCAUCACAGUGCUCCGUUGCGCCAGGAGAGGUUUAGUCAUGCUGGCCACAUGACCCAGAAAGCUGUCUGUGGAAAAACGCCGGCUCCCUCAGCCUAAAAGUGAGAUGAGCGCUGCAACCCCAUAGUCGCCUUUGACUGGACUUAACCAUCCGGGGGUCCUUUACCUUUACCUCUUAUUGGGGUUGUAAACUUGCACCACCACUUUCGGAGAGAAAGUGAGAGAGAGCGCACAUGUCAAGAAUUUGUAUAUUGGAUUCAACCAGGUGAGCCUUCACUGCAGUCCUUGGAUCCUUGGAUAGCUCAGUUGCAGGUUCAAUCCCCAUAAAGGACAGCUGAUUAGAUGAUCCACAAGGUCUCUUCCAACUCUAUGAUUCUAUGAGAUAUCCCUCCACAGUGAUAAGGAGUUCUAGGCCAUGCAGACUAACCAUCUCAUUGGCAACAAACCAAAGGUACAAACCUGUCUGCUAUCUAGCAUUUGGCCAUCAUGUGUUGAUAUGUCCUAAGUUCUGCUUUCCUGUUUUCCCCAGGGCAUUUUUUGUGUGCGCAGAUUGUCGGUGCGGCAUCCACAGUUUCUCUCAGCAUGUUGUCACAAAUGAUAAAUGAGUGGAGCCUUCUCUUUGUCCUCCAGAUUCUGCAUUUCAUGCCUUGCUUUGUCCUGGAUUUAAUUGCCUCUUUCUUUAGUCAAGUCUAAAGAUACCAGUGACAAACUAGCUGUGUGUGUGUGUGUGUGUGUGUGUGUGUGUGUGGAGCAUGGACUUUUGUUUUGUUCUUGAUUCUCAUAUCAAGCCAUUCACCGUGAACCACUCAUCAAAGGUCUCCAUGGGGCUUCCUGUUGCCAUGGUUUCUCCACAAUUUCUGCAGGAACAAGCUAGGGAUGGCAUGUCAGUGGGGCAUCUCUCAUGUGCAGGAAUGCAGUUGAUGCUUGGAUCGGAACUCAUUUUAGGUGACUUGGUUUCCAGUCCCUCUCUGAUUCAAUGUCUUUCAGAUGCUGUUGGACUCCAGAUCCGAUCUGCCCAGGACAGCAUGACUGAUGGUCAGGGUUGAUGACAGAUGGAGUCCAGCAACAUUAAGAGGGUCACAUGUUGGCCAUCCCUCUUCUACGCUCCCCUUUAAAAAAACCACACACUUCCCUUGAAGUUAUCCAGUCCCUAACAAACAGAGAUUUGUGUUGAGAGUGAUCUCCUGAGUGACAUAGACACUGUUAGGCAGUUGAAUGUGCAUGCGUACUCAGUCUGUUUUCCUCACUUCCUCCCACCCAUAUCUGAGUGGCCUAGGGCACAGGCAACCCACGCUAUGGCACUGCAACAAAGCACUUUUUCUAUGCCAUAAAUUCCGCUUGAAGAGAUCAAGGUACUUGGUUCAGCUGUCCCAUUGAGAGCUGUGGGAUAUAAAAAUGCUUAGCUUUGAGUGGCGCAUGGUCAGAGUUUAUUCUUACUGCCCAUGGACCAUAAUAAUAAUAAUAAAGAAUUAAAAUGAUAGAAUACUGUUUCAAAGAAAUCAUCAGC